rnacentral:rRNA from 1 species
AGGGGAGAACGGAAUUCCUGGUGUAGCGGUGGAAUGCGCAGAUAUCAGGAGGAACACCGAUGGCGAAGGCAGUUCUCUGGGCCGUUACUGACGCUGAGGAGCGAAAGCGUGGGGAGCGAACAGGAUUAGAUACCCUGGUAGUCCACGCCGUAAACGGUGGGUGCUAGCUGUGGGCCACAUUCCACGUGGUCCGUGACGAAGUUAACACAUUAAGCACCCCGCCUGGGGAGUACGGCCGCAAGGCUAAAACUCAAAGGAAUUGACGGGGGCCCGCACAAGCGGCGGAGCAUGCGGAUUAAUUCGAUGCAACGCGAAGAACCUUACCAAGGCUUGACAUAUAGAGGAAAAGUACAGAAAUGUGCUCCCCGUAAGGUCUCUAUACAGGUGGUGCAUGGUUGUCGUCAGCUCGUGUCGUGAGAUGUUGGGUUAAGUCCCGCAACGAGCGCAACCCUCGUCCUAUGUUGCCAGCACGUUAUGGUGGGAACUCAUGGGAUACUGCCGGGGUCAACUCGGAGGAAGGUGGGGAUGACGUCAAAUCAUCAUGCCCCUUAUGUCUUGGGCUUCACGCAUGCUACAAUGGCCGGUACAGAGGGCUGCAAUACCGUAAGGUGGAGCGAAUCCCAAAAAGCCGGUCUCAGUUCGGAUUGAGGUCUGCAACUCGACCUCAUGAAGUCGGAGUCGCUAGUAAUCGUAGAUCAGCAACGCUACGGUGAAUACGUUCCCGGGCCUUGUACACACCGCCCGUCAAGUCACGAAAGUCGGUAACACCCGAAGCCGGUGGCCCAACCUUUUGGAGGGAGCCGUCUAAGGUGGGACUGGUAAUUGGGACUAAGUCGUAACAAGGUAGCCGUACCGGAAGGUGCGGCUG